GAUGAACGCUGGCGGCGUGCCUAAUACAUGCAAGUCGAGCGAACGGACGAGAAGCUUGCUUCUCUGAUGUUAGCGGCGGACGGGUGAGUAACACGUGGAUAACCUACCUAUAAGACUGGGAUAACUUCGGGAAACCGGAGCUAAUACCGGAUAAUAUUUUGAACCGCAUGGUUCAAAAGUGAAAGACGGUCUUGCUGUCACUUAUAGAUGGAUCCGCGCUGCAUUAGCUAGUUGGUAAGGUAACGGCUUACCAAGGCAACGAUGCAUAGCCGACCGGAGAGGGUGAUAGGCCGCACGGGAACUGGGACACGGUCCAGGCGCCUACGGGAGGCAGCAGUAGGGAAUCGUCCGCAGUGGGCGAAAGCCUGACGGAGCAACGCCGCGUGAGUGAUGAAGGUCUUCGGAUCGUAAAACUCUGUUAUUAGGGAAGAACAUCUGUGUAAGUAACUGAGCACAUCGUGACGGUACCUGAUCAGAAAGCCCCGGCUAACUACGUG
rnacentral:rRNA from 1 species